CCUACGGGAGACAGCAGUGGGGAAUAUUGGGCAAUGGGCGCAAGCCUGACCCAGCAACGCCGCGUGAAGGAAGAAGGCUUUCGGGUUGUAAACUUCUUUUAUUGAGGACGAAACAAAUGACGGUACUCAAUGAAUAAGCCACGGAUAACUACGUGCCAGCAGUCGCGGGAAUACGUAGGUGGCAAGCGUUAUCCGGAUUUACUGGGUGUAAAGGGCGUGUAGGCGGGACUGCAAGUCAGAUGUGAAAACCAUGGGCUUAACCCAUGGCCUGCAAUUGAAACUGGCAAACUGGAGUGUGUGAGAGGAUAGUGGAAUUCGAGGUGUAGGAGUGAAAUCCGUAGAUAUCUGGAGGAACAUCAGUGGCGAAGGCGACUAUCUGGCACAUAACUGACGCUGAGGAGCGAAAGCGUGGGUAGCAAACAGGAUUAGAUACCCCAGUAGUC
rnacentral:rRNA from 1 species